UCCUGUUAGUAAAAGAUCUGCAGCAGCUCCGGAGACGUAGGCAGAAUUGGCAGCAGCUCCGGAGACGUAGGCAGAAUUGGCCGAACUCCGUUAUUAAAUUUGUGUGUGUUAUUAUUCCGCUUUUAUUUGGCAUUCUCACUAAUUUAGUUUUAUAGGAAAUUUUGCGUAAUUUCCCAACAGUAACAAUAUGUUGAUAUCUUUGAUAAAACUAUGGAUCUAGUUUAUUCAUCGUAAUAUCACCUGGGUAUUGCGAGGAAUGAGCCUCUGAAAUUCUACUUCCUGAUGAUAACAAGUUGAAAUUAGUCAAAACCUCAUCCAAAAAGCUUGCACCCAAAGAGGGUAUGAGCUGCAAAGAUGAUGUGGAUGUAAAAUCUGAAAACUAUGGUCAAAGGAACUAUGACUUUGGGGAAUCUGCAAUAGAGUUAGAGAGAAAUCGGUGGUGGCAAAUUUCAACCUAGAGUAAAGAUCCAACCCAGGAAGGGAAAAUCUGAGGCAACUGCAAAGGAAGAGCCAACUAGCCGAGCCUCAACUGUCUCAAUUUCUUGAUAUUGGCAAAAUUCUUACCCAUUAUUUGCCACUGUAGAUAUUGCUGUAAGACCUCCAUAUUCUGGUUUUGAAAAAUCAACUACAGAUACAUAUGUUUCAGGAUUGGAGUAUAUUCAUGAGUUUGUUACCCAGUCUCGAAGUGGCACAGAGAUUCCACUUGCUGCUUCAAAUUAGAAGGAAACAAUCUAGACUUCCAGCUCAAUAUUUUGUUAAUUCUUAGGCCCUCGGAUCAUGUAAUGUGGCAGUCUUGGAUGCAGACACUUGUAAUACAGCUGCUCUUCUGGCUGAUAAUGGAAGGCCAGAGUGAGAGGUGAGGACCUGUAUAUGAAUUAUUUCUGUCGUCGGAAAGUUCUUUUUUUUUUUUUUUUUUUUUUUUUUUUUUUUUUUUUUUUUUUUUUUGGUGAUUGAAAGUUUUGAUUUUGAUUUAGUGAUUAUUUGGCUAGUUUCAGGAAUCAAAAUUUUUUCCUAACUUGGAAAGUCCAGAUAUUCUAGCUAAGUCCAUAGUUGCAUGUGGUAUGUUAAGAACUAGUUGUCUGCAUUAUAUGGGCAUUAUUUUGCAUUGUAUUGUUUGCUUUUGUACCAAGUCCUUGUUGAUUUUAGAUAAUUCUAAAAAUUCCAGCCACAACCCAGAUACAUAUUUGCAAAGAGAAACCUAGUUUUAUUAUCCUUCCCCCAGAUGCAGCUGAGUCUAUUGUACCUCUGGGCAAUAUUCAGUUUAUUCCUUCUGAAACUGUGUAUAUAAAUGUGGGUUUAAUUCCUACCUUCCCAUCGGAUGAUGUUCUUGAUAAUUCCUCCAUGUGCAUUUGGCAAUUUCACUGCUUUAUCCUACCACAUCUGAGUUGCCAGAGAAAGAACAGAUAAACCUUACAGAAGCUUCUCACUCCAAACUAUAGUGAAACAAAUGUUUUUCACCAUUAUGUACCAGGAGUGCCCACAAUUAUUGUUCAAAAUAAAUAAAAUGCUUUGCUAAGCUGCAUUGAUUUGCUUCAGUGGGAUUUACUAUGUUAUUGAAUAGUGUUUCCAUGCUAUGGCUAUUAAUAUAUAAGGAAAAGCUGUGUAACGAGAUGUUCUACUUCUCUACCUGAUAAAUGGCAGCUUUUUUUUUUUUUUUUUUUUUUUUUUUUUUUUUUGGAACUUCUGAAAAACAAAUUCUGAGGAUAUGCAACAAUUCUGGUUCUUGUUUGUUGGUUAGAGUUCUGUGGCUUAUUAUUAUGUUGUGGAGGGUGGGUGGUGAAAGGAAGAAAAAUAAUAAAUUGCCCCCUUUUUUGGAUUUUUCCUGUGGAUUGCUUGUUUAAACUUAUGCAACUGGCAAGUGUUUCACAGUAAAGUUGAUUAAACUGAGGCUGGGCAUGCUUGCUGUGCAGCUGGAUUUAUGUUAGCUUCUCUUUCCUUUUUGUUUAAUAUCACAUACAAGUGGUAUGUAAAAUGCAGAAACCUAUGCAAGUGCUUUUGUUGCUUCUUUUUUUCUUUUUUGUUUUUGGCAAUAAGAGAUAGACUAGUGUGUCAAAAUACAUAAAUGUACUUUAGAGACUACUGAAUUCACAUAUUGUGUGAUAAUAUAUGAUGGAGAGAGUUUAAUGUAGCAAAAAAAAAAAAAAAAGAAAGGAAAAA